rnacentral:rRNA from 1 species
UCAAGCUGAAAAGAGCGCAAGGGGAAUGCCUUGGCAUCAGGAGCCGACGAAGGACGUGACAAGCUGCGAUAAGCCACGGGGAGGAGCAAAUAUCCGAUAUAUCCGUGGAUUUCCGAAUGGGGGAACCCGCUCAAGCAAUACUUGAGCAUCGUGCGUUGAAUCAAAUAGGCGUACGAAGGGAACGGCCUGAACUGAAACAUCUAAGUAGGGCCAGGAAAAGACAUCAACCGAGAUUCCGCUAGUAGUGGCGAGCGAACGCGGAGGAGGCCAAACCGAGGGACGCAAGUUCUUCGGGGUUGCGGACAGACAUCAAGACCAGAGGUAAUUAAGAGAACGGCGUGGGAAAGCCGGCCAUAGAAGGUGAGAGCCCUGUAUCUGAAAAUGAAGACUGGCAGUCUGGAUCCAGAGUACCGCGGGACACGUGAAACCCCGUGGGAAACCGGGUGGACCACCAUCCAAGCCUAAAUACUACCUGAUGACCGAUAGAGGAGCAGUACCGUGAGGGAAAGGUGAAAAGGACCCCGGGAGGGGAGUGAAAGAGAACCUGAAACCUUGUGCCUACAAGCACAUAGAGCACAUCAACGUGUGAUAUGGUACUUUUUGUAGAACGGUCCGGCGAGCGAUUGUAUGUUGCGAGCUUAAGCGCUUAAGGCGUGGAGGCGUAGCGAGAGCGAGUCUGAAUAGGGCGUUCAGUAGCAUGCAAUGGGCCCGAAACCGGGUGACCUACCCAUGAUCAGGCUGAAGUGAAAGUAAAAUUUCAUGGAGGGCCGAACCGACCUCCGUUGAAAAGGCGGCGGAUGAAUUGUGGGUAGCGGAGAAAUUCCAAUCGAACUCGGAGAUAGCUGGUUCUCCCCGAAAUAGCUUUAGGGCUAGCCUCAUAUUAGAUACCCGGAGGUAAAGCACUGAAUGGCCUAGCGCCCGAGAGGGUAGCGAAGCCUAUCAAACUAAGAAUGCCGGAGUAUUGAUGUAUGGGAGUCAGACAGUGUGAGAUAAAUCUCAUUGUCAAAAGGGAAACAGCCCAGAUCUACAGCUAAGGUCCCAAAUUGUAUCUAAGUGGAAAACGAUGUGGAAAUACGCAGACAACCAGGAUGUUGGCUCAGAAGCAGCCACUCAUUUAAAGAGUGCGUAAUAGCUCACUGGUCGAGCGUCUCUGCGCGGAAAAUUUAACGGGGCUAAGAUACAAACCGAAGCUUAGGCUGCACGAAAGUGCGGGGUAGGGGAGCGUUGUGUAAGCGGAGAAACAGUAGCGUAAGCGGCUGUGGAGUUUACAGAAGUGAGAAUGCCGGAAUGAGUAGCGCGAAUGUGGUGAGAAUCCACAUGGCCGGAAACCUCAGGUUUUUGGAGGAAGGUUCGUCCGCUCCAAGUUAGGCGGGAGCUAAGGUCAGGCCGAAAGGCGUAGCCGAUGCACAGACGGUAGAGAUUCCGUCCCCACCGAAAGAUUUAAGCACAGGGACACUUUUAGAAGGUCGGAGCCAGGUGUUGGUUCUGGUAGUGAUCGAGGGAAAUAUAGUACCGAAGUCCGGCUGGAUGAGAGGCGAGAAAAGCUGUGUGUAUAUCUAAGGUGCCCGUACCGCAAACCGACACAGGUAGGUAGGAAGAAGAUUCUAAGGCCAACGGGAGAAGGGUUGUUAAGGAACUCGGCAAAUUGACCCCGUAACUUCGGGAGAAGGGGUGCUCCAGAGAUGGAGCCGCAGAGAAUCGGCCCAAGCAACUGUUUACCAAAAACACAGGUUUGUGCUAAAUCGAAAGAUGACGUAUACGAGCUGACGCCUGCCCGGUGCUGGAAGGUUAAGAGGAGAUGUGCAAGCAUUGAAUCGAAGCCCCAGUGAACGGCGGCCGUAACUAUAACGGUCCUAAGGUAGCGAAAUUCCUUGUCAGGUAAG